AGAGGAGACCGGGGUCAGUUGACUAUAGGAGUAAAUAGAAUAAUCGAGGCUACAUUAAAAACAAAACACGCGAGACAUGUGUAAAC